CCAGGAGACAGUAAGGAUUAAAUGAACUGGUGUUGUCAACCCCACAGCAGCCUCAGGCUGGGUCCUGAGUAGCCACUGAUGGAGGUGUGUCCAUUGCAGAGAGAUGCUGGGUGUAUCACACCUCCAGAGCUUCCUUUGGCUCUCAGGUUCACUGUGCAGGCCCUUUGAAAACAAAAGCCACCGGAGGAAUUUCCAAGAGGAGAUUAACUGGGGUGAACAGAGUUGCCUUUCAGAACCUUGGACCCCCCUGAGGACUCCCACUGAAUGGACCAGCUGGCAUAGAGACUGCAGAUGAGGGAGAAAUAAACUACGGUUCAACUAUCGUC